CCUACGGGAGGCUGCAGUGGGGGAUAUUGCACACUGGGGGAAACCCUGAUGCAGCGACGCCGCGUGUGGGAAGACGGUCUUCUGGAUUGUAAACCACUGUCUCCAGGGACGACAAUGACGGUACCUGGGGAGGAAGCUCCGGCUAACUACGUGCCAGCAGCCGCGGUAAUACGUAGGGAGCAAGCGUUGUCCGGAAGUACUGGGUGUAAAGGGAGCGUAGGCGGGGAUGCAAGUUGGGUGUCAACACUACCGGCUAAACCGGUAGUCGCACUCAAAACUGCAACUCUUGAGUGAAGUAGAGGCAGGCGGAAUUCCUAGUGGAGCGGUGAAAUGCUUAGAUAUCAUGAAGAACUCCGAUCGCGAAGGCAAGUGUCCGGGGUGCAACUGACGCUGAGGCUCGAAAGUGCGGGUAUCAAACAGGAUUAGAUACCCGGGUAGUC
rnacentral:rRNA from 1 species